UGAACAUACUGGGGCAUGUGUCCUUAUUU
rnacentral:piRNA from 1 species